rnacentral:tRNA from 1 species
GCCGGCGUGGCGGAACUGGCAGACGCGCGUGACUCAAAAUCACGUCCCGCUUAGCGGGGUGGGGGUUCAAUUCCCUCCGCCGGCA